rnacentral:ncRNA from 2 species
AAGCGGCGGACUGCGACAGGUUUCCCGCAAGGGGAUCAAAAGGGAACUUGGGUGGAAAUCCCGGGCUGCCCCUGCAACUGUAAGCGGUGAGCCGACCGGCCAUUUCGCCAUUGGAACAUCCGUUCCGAGAAGGCGCCGGAUAGGCCUUGACCCGUGAGCCAGGAGACCUGCCUGUCGUGGUCGUUCUUC